rnacentral:rRNA from 1 species
GACGGAGCAACGCCGCGUGAGGGAGGAAGGCCUGUGGGUUGUAAACCUCUUUUCUCAGGGAAGAAGCUCUGACGGUACCUGAGGAAUCAGCAUCGGCUAACUCCGUGCCAGCAGCCGCGGUAAGACGGAGGAUGCAAGCGUUAUCCGGAAUUAUUGGGCGUAAAGCGUCCGUAGGCGGCUAGUUAAGUCUGCUGUCAAAGACCACAGCUCAACUGUGGAAAGGCAGUGGAAACUGAUUAGCUAGAGUGUGGUAGGGGCAGAGGGAAUUCCUGGUGUAGCGGUGAAAUGCGUAGAUAUCAGGAAGAACACCAGUGGCGAAGGCGCUCUGCUGGGCCAUAACUGACGCUGAUGGACGAAAGCUAGGGGAGCG